rnacentral:lncRNA from 1 species
UACUUAGAGUUACAACAAAGCUCUGGUGAAAUUCAGACUGAAGAGACAGACAUCUCAGACUGAAAGCUUAUACAGCACUGUGAAAAGAAAAGGACAGGGCACAUCCAGAACAGAUAUGGACAAGAAUGUCUCCAGAGUUAGUAGUUCAGAUAAGGAUGUUAGCAGAAAGCGGAAAAGUCAGCCUUCUGGAUCUUCAGGAGUCCACAAUG